AUUGAACGCUGGCGGCAGGCCUAACACAUGCAAGUCGAACGAGUGGCGGACGGGUGAGUAAUGUCUGGGAAACUGCCUGAUGGAGGGGGAUAACUACUGGAACCGGUCGCUAAUACCGCAUACCCUCAGAUGUGCCCAGAUGGGAGUAGCUUGUUGGUGGGGUAACGGCUCACCAAGGCGACGAUCCCGAGCUGGUCUGAUGGGCUGACCAUCCACACGGAAACCGAGACACGGUCCAGACUCCUACGGGAGGCAGCAGUGGGGAAUAUGGCACAAUGGGCGCAAGCCUGAUGCAGCCAUGCCGCGUGUAUGAAGAAGGCCUUCGGGUUGUAAAGUACUUUCAGCGGGGAGGCGUUACCCGCAGAAGAAGCACCGGCUAACUCCGUGCCAGCCGCCGCGGUAAUUC
rnacentral:rRNA from 1 species